rnacentral:rRNA from 1 species
GAUUAACGCUAGCGGCAGGCAUAAUACAUGCAAGUUGAACGGCAGCACAGGUAGCAAUACUGGGUGGCGAGUGGCGCACGGGUGCGUAACACGUAUGCAACCUACCCUAUACAGGCGAAUAACCUUUAGAAAUGAGGGCUAAUACGCCGUAGUAUUACAGAUGGGCAUCUAUUUGUAAUUAAAGAUUUAUCGGUAUAGGAUGGGCAUGCGUCCCAUCAGUUAGUUGGUAAGGUAACGGCUUACCAAGACGAUGAUGGGUAGGGGAUCUGAGAGGACUUACCCCCACACUGGUACUGAGACACGGACCAGACUCCUACGGGAGGCAGCAGUAAGGAAUAUGGGGCAAUGGCCGCGAGGCUGACCCAGCCAUGCCGCGUGCAGGAAGACGGCCUUAUGGGUUGUAAACUGCUUUUAUACGGGAAUAAUAGAGUGUACGCGUACAUUUAUGCAAGUAUCGUAUGAAUAAGCAUCGGCUAACUCCGUG